rnacentral:rRNA from 1 species
GAUGAACGCUGGCGGCGUGCUUAACACAUGCAAGUCGAACGGAAAGGCUCCUGCUUGCAGGGGUACUCGAGUGGCGAACGGGUGAGUAACACGUGGGGGAUCUGCCCUGCACUUCGGGAUAAGCCUGGGAAACUGGGUCUAAUACCGGAGAGGACCACAUGUUGGAUGGUGUGGUGGAAAGUUUUUCGGUGUGGGAUGAGCUCGCGGCCUAUCAGCUUGUUGGUGGGGUAAUGGCCUACCAAGGCGUCGACGGGUAGCCGGCCUGAGAGGGUGUACGGCCACAUUGGGCCUGAGAUACGGCCCAGACUCCUACGGGCGGCAGCAGUGGGGAAUAUUGCACAGUGGGCGCAAGCCUGAUGCAGCGACGCCGCGUGGGGGAUGCCGGCCUUCGGGUUGUAAACUCCUUUCGCUAGGGACGAAGCGAAAGUGACGGUACCUGGAGAAGAAGCACCGGCUAACUACGUG